CUUAGGACCCGGGUUGAGGUAAGAUGGCGGGCUCGCGGGGUGAAAAUAGUAUACCUAGAAGCAAUUUUUUUUUUUUAGAAGCAGAUUUUAAAAGCAGUUUCUCUUCAAAUCAUCUUUCAUACCACCUGAUAAGCAUCUUGAUUCACCAUGGCGUUGGCAGCAGUAAAAUGGGCCAUAUCAAGAAGAACUAUCUUGAAACAUUUAUUUCCAAUUCAAAUUUAAUCUGCAAACCAGUUCAUUUGCCCCUGGAUGGAACCUUAUAUUGUGUUUGUCAUAAAACUACGUAUUCUUCUCUUCCAGAUGACUAUAAUUGCAAAGUAGAGCUUGCUUUGACAUCUGAUGGCAGGACAAUAGUAUGCUAUCACCCUUCUGUGGACAUUCCGUAUGAACACACAAAACCUAUCCCUCGGCCAGAUCCUGUGCAGAAUAAUGAAGAAACACAUGAUCUAGUGCUGAAAACCAGAUUAGAAGAAAAAGGUGAAUACUUAGAGCAAGGACCCAUGAUAGAACAACUUAGCAAAAUGUUCUUUACUACUAAGCACCGUUGGUAUCCUCGUGGACAUGUUUAAUGAACAGUCAUCCAGAUUGCCGUAUUGAAACUACCUCAAGAUCUGAAAAAAGACUUUCCAAAUGCUUAAUUAAUAGAAGACAAUUUUCACAGCAGGAAAAUGUGACUUAUUAUUAAGAAGUAUCUUCUACCUGAGGUAUCAUAGACGUCGUAGGAAACUGAAUCCUCCAAAAGACAGAUGAUAUUGAGGUUUUCAGGAAUCAAAGAGAAAUGUUAUCCUGCGUCUCAUUUGCCAUUUGAGAAAAUACAAAUUGCGUAUAUUCAUUAAUACGUUAUAUAGUAAAAUAAUAAAAUGUCUUCUCAUAUA